AGGGGGAUUCUUCCAUUUUAAGAUACUUAGAGCGGCAAAAUAUGUAACCACUGGCGGCAGUUCCAAAGCCUUUGAAGAACUACAGGAUGACAGUCUGGCUCUGCUCAAAUGUAGUUCCCGGAUUUUAUCUGCAAUUAUUUACAUUUAACAUGUUGAUCACAGUUAAUUUCCUAUCUGACAAUUCCACAGUGUGUGUUAUAUCUGAGCCUAGUUCUUACAUUUGCUUUGUCUUUUCAGGCUGUGUUUUUUUCCUGCCUUUUUAACAUGUCAUAAAAUUUUUUGUGAAAAGCUGGACUUAAUGUAUUGGAGAAUUGAAACUGAGGGUAGUGGGGUUUAUUUUUUUCACUGAGUUUAAAAAAUUUUGUCAAUUUUCUAUUGCAGUUGGAAGAUUCUGUGCCUGUUGUCAAGGUGACACUCCCCGGAAUUUUAAAGAGAAGUUUUAAAGUAGGAUGCUUUGGCUAGUAUUUGCAGAAACAUAUACACUUUUUUUACAUGAUAAGGAAAACAACAGAUAUUUAUUCUUCAUCCCAGGGGGAAAAAAACCCUUGGAGGAAUAAUUCAGAGGCAACAUCCUUAACGGGUGAUCAGUAGACACAAGACUCAUCCCAGUGAGCCACUGGUUCUGGCAGCUGUGUGACUUUGGACAGAGAUAUCUACAAUCUUUCAAUAUUGUUUGUGCACCAACUGCAUUCUCCACGUUGUAUUACUGCAGAUUUAUUGAUGAGUAAAACAAAUUCCUACCCUCAAGGAGUUUGCAAGCAAAAGAGUGAAAUGAAGAUGAAAGUGCAAUGCUCCACUGUCUUUUCGUGUGCUCAGAGAUUACUUUCUUAAUCUUUAAAAUGAAAGGCUUUUGCCUAAAUGACUGAGUGAUGUUGCACCUAUAACCCUAAUAUUCUUUGAUUCCCAAGGACAAGAAUCAGAACUAACAAGGUAUAUAAUGACAAAAGAAUUUUCAUUAUGAGGAACUUAUCAAGAAAUCAUAGAGUGGAGAGACUUGCACUAAAAACACUUAAAAUGAAUGGGAAGCCCGUCAGCAUAUUGUAUGUCCAUAUUUUCCAAAAAGAGUUAAGUUUGUAAGCUACUGCAUAGGACCAUGGGAAUUCUGGAUGUCCUUGGACUGUAUCACAUGUGGUUUCUUGGCAUCUUAGAUGAUGCAAUUUUUUAUUGCUUUGUCCGUGCAAUAAACGCUGAUAAAUUUUUCGGUUUAAAAUUUACCAAGUCUGCUACUGUAUCCCAGAAUUCUCAAUGAAAGAAAAUAUUUACAGUUUUUAACAUUACAGGUAGAAAAAGGAUCAAAGUGAUUUUCUUAAAUUUCCUUCUAAUUCAUGGAAAAAAGAACACAGUCAGUGAGGGUCUUUGCUCCUGUUCCCCAAUUUUCUUUGUCCAAAUGGCUCAGCCUUGAAUUCAAGAGGAGUGGUGCAGGAUUUAAUUGCUCCCACUUGUCUUCCUUGUGCAAAACUGCAGCUAGAAGAGCAAAUGAUAAGUUGAGAAUAUUUAACACUCAGCAACAAUACCAGGAACUUGUUCAAACUUUGUUUUUGAAGCUUCUUGACCUUCCAAUGAUUUAUUUCUUCCACACAUGGUUUCAUUAGAACUUCACUUGGAGAAGAAGAGAAAUAGCAAAUAACAGCAUCUUUCAUCUAUAACCAGAAUAUUCCAAGCCUUUCAAAAGUUGUUGCAAAAAGAAUAAAGUAUGAGCUACCUAGGCCUUGUUUGUCUGAGUCUUGCAUCCUGCUCAUAAAAGUAACACAAAAUUUUUUCAACAAGGACUAAGAAUGAGCUUAUUAUUUUUUAACAUACAUACAAUUUAUUCAUGAUAAUAUUGCUAGUAGAAGCCUGGAAAUAACUGAGAUGCCAAUAAACAGGAAAAUUACUAAUUAUAUCUAUACAAUGAAAUCUAUGCAACUGAUUUAAAAUUAAGGAUGCACCCUCUUAUUUUUAGUGUGUAUGUAUAAAUGGAUACGUGGUAUGUUGUCAAAGAAGGUUUAGAAGUUCAAUUUAAAUAAUACUGAAGAUACCUGCUAUUGUAUAAGCAAUGAAAAUGCUAUACAGAUGUUCUGAAAUAAAACAAACACACCCAUACUCUGACCACUGAACUUUGGACCAGUAUUGCUCUUCAUUAGUAUCCUAAAAUGUAUGGACAUUUUAUGGGUCAUUGUUCCAAACCUGUCUUUGGAGCUAUUUGGAGUAGCACAGAACCAACCUGUCUUUAGAGCUUCCUUGAGCAGCACAGAAAAGGGACUUUCAGAGCUUCAGGAGACAGUAUUUCAUCCAAGUGCAGCUUCUGGAAGUGAAAUGUAUUUAGAAGGUUUGCUCUGCUAUUGUAAUUUCCCAAGUAGGCCCAUGUGACUCUGCAAACCCUAGGCCUGAGCCAGAUUUGUUUGAAAUGUCAGCCAAACUACCAGCACCUUACAUCAUGAUAUGGUCUGACUCUGUGUUCCCAUCCAAAUCUCAUAUCAAAUUGUAAUUCCCAGUGUUGCAGGAGGGGCCCAGUGGGAGGUGAUCGAAUCAUGGGGGUGGACCUCCCCCUUGCUGUUCUUGUGAUAGAAUUUUCCUUAUAUCUGCUUGUUUAAAAGUGUGUUUAAAGGCACCUUCCCCACACUUCCUGCCAGCCAUAUGAAGAUGGGCUUGCUUCCCUUUCAACUUCUGCCAUGAUUGUAAGUUUCCUGAGGCCUACCCAGAAACAGAAGCCUGUACAGCCUGCAGAACUAUGAGCUGAUUAAACCUCUUUUCUUUAUAAAUUACCCAGUCUCCAGUAUGUCUUUAUAGCAAUGUUGAGAACAGACUAACUCCAUGAGCAUCUCAAAUGUCAUCAUCACAGGUAAUAUCUAUUGAGCU
rnacentral:lncRNA from 10 species